rnacentral:tRNA from 1 species
GGCCCAAUGGUGGAAUGGCAGACACAACAAGCCCAAACCUUGUCUUAUACUCUCGGUUCGAAUCCGAGUUGGGCUA